GUCGUUAUGAAAAUGGUGUUGUCGUUACCAAGGCUGUCGUGGGGGUUGUGGUCUGUGUUAGUCCCGGGCCUGGCCCUACUGCUGUGCCUGGCCCUGGUCCUGAUGGGCUGUGUGAUCAGGAAGAAGAGAAGGAUGGAGGGAAUGUAUCGGCCCAGUGCGGAGGAGAGCAAACAGACAGGACCACGGGGGGCUGAGAGACCAGGCCUGCCCCUGCCCAAGGAGGAGAGACUCAUCUGAUACCUGCACUCUAGCCUGGACGCUACACACACACAAACUCUCUUUUCCUCCCUCUCUCUCUCACUACCAUUGCCUCACUCUCCUCUACCCUGGACAUGAAGCCAGAAUGGGUUAUUAGUAGUUAUGUAUUGUGUUGUGUAAAGUUAUCUGUAGAUGAAGUGUCUUGUUAAAUAUGCCUGAACAUGCCUGGUGGAUGUGCCAUGUUCUCUCCAGUUUCUCCAACUGUGCUGAUGUUGACAUCAGUGUCAGGGGUGUGUUGUUUACCUGUAGGUGGACUAGUUGUUGACAUGUUUACCUGUAGGUGGACUAGUUGUUUACAUGUUUACCUGUAGGUGGACUAGUUGUUGACAUGUUUACCUGUAGGUGGACUAGUUGUUGACAUGUUUACCUGUAGGUGGACUAGUUGUUGACAUGGUUACCUGUAGGUGGACUAGUUGUUGACAUGGUUACCUGUAGGUGGACUAGUUGUUGACAUGGUUACCUGUAGGUGGACUAGUUGUUGACAUGGUUACCUGUAGGUGGACUAGUUGUUGACAUGGUUACCUGUAGGUGGACUAGUUGUUGACAUGGUUACCUGUAGGUGGACUAGUUGUUGACAUGGUUACCUGUAGGUGGACUAGUUGUUGACAUGGUUACCUGUAGGUGGACUAGUUGUUGACAUGGUUACCUGUAGGUGGACUAGUUGUUGACAUGGUUACCUGUAGGUGGACUAGUUGUUGACAUGGUUACCUGUAGGUGGACUAGUUGUUGACAUGGUUACCUGUAGGUGGACUAGUUGUUGACAUGUUUACCUGUAGGUGGACUAGUUGUUGACAUGUUUACCUGUAGGUGGACUAGUUGUUGACAUGUUUACCUGUAGGUGGACUAGUUGUUGACAUGUUUACCUGUAGGUGGACUAGUUGUUGACAUGUUUACCUGUAGGUG